UACGUAGGGUGCAAGCGUUACUCGGAAUUACUGGGCGUAAAGCGUGCGCAGGCGGUUUUGUAAGGCAGAUGUGAAAUGCCCGGGCUUAACCUGGGAACUGCAUUUGUGACUGCAAGGCUAGAGUUUGGCAGAGGGGGGUAGAAUUCCACGUGUAGCAGUGAAAUGCGUAGAUAUGUGGAGGAAUACCGAUGGCGAAGGCAGCCCCCUGGGUCAAGACUGACGCUCAUGCACGAAAGCGUGGGGAGCAAACAGG
rnacentral:rRNA from 1 species